UAAUGAGGGGAGGCACCGGCGGAGUGCAACGUAAGAUAAUGGAUGUCUACGAAGGUCCUCACUAUGUCCAUUGCUAUGCGCAUCAGCUGAACCACAUCAUGCAGCAGGGAACAUCACACAUCCCCAGGAUCGGCACUUUUUUCCGAAUUUGGUGGAUUUUCUGCUUUCUCCAGGUCACCCAAGCGAAUCACCGUGCUUGACCAAGUGGUUGCGCAUAGACUCCCCAGAGCCUGUACAACAUGGUGGAACUUCCACAGUCGCGCUGUAAACACAUAAGGAUGUAUGCAGCAUAAGGAUGACCUCAUAAAAUGUGUUUCCAGACCAUCAGAGACUCUGGGAACUUUGAUCCUGCAACUGUCAUAGAGGCUGGGGGCUUUGUGAGGAUGCUUUGAGACGAGGCUUUCUGUUUUUUCCUGGCAUUGUUCCACAAGGUCAUGCCAAAUGUAGACAUGCUGUUCAACCAGCUGCAGAAGAGGAACAUCGACCCUGUCUGCAUUAAAGCACUUGUCCAGAGGUUCACAGACAGCAUGCUAAUGAUCAGGGCCUCCAUUCCCUCUCCGUGUGGGGACAAUGCAUCUGACCAGCAGCACCAGCCAAUAAAGCGACGGAGGUUGCUGGGACCAGGAUAACAACAGAGGCUGGCUACAGAAGUAUGUGAUACCAUCCUGAUGCAUGCCAAGGAGCAGUUCUCCUUCACCCAGCACCUCAUCAGCACAACACUGUUGCAUGGAGAGUUGUUCCCACAACACGGUGUGAAGUUCCAUGAUGCAGCGCUUGAAACAACAGUGGAGGCGUACCCUAUGCUGAACAAGGCCAAGCUCAAAACAGUGCAGUGGUGCAGUGCCUCUGUACCAGUUUUUCAUGGAGAACAACCUUCAGAGUACUUUCUCAGAGACUGUCAGUCUUCUCAAGAUCCUUAUCACCACACCCAUGACAACAGCAGAAUCAGAGAGGUGCUUCUCUACUUUGAAGAGGAUCAAGACCUUCCUGAGAAACACCAUGACACAGGAUCACCUUAAUGCUCUGGCUAUGCUCUCCAUGGAGAAAGAAUUUGACAGGGACAUUCCUGACUUUAAUAAGAAAGUCAUUGAGAAGUUUGCCGCUCAGAAGGAGAGAAGAACAAAAUUCCUAUACAAAUAAGCUGUCAGGAAAACAUGCAGGUUUUUUCACCACAUUGCGUUUUCUUGUACAUAGUUGUCCUCAGUCUUAUUUGUUUAACUUGGUCAUGGAGGCAUCACCAUUUAAUUGAGACAAAUU